rnacentral:rRNA from 1 species
GAUGAACGCUGGCGGCGUGCUUAACACAUGCAAGUCGAACGAAGCACCUCUCCCGAAGAUUGACACAGCUUGCUGUAGAUUGAUUCAUUUGAGGUGACUGAGUGGCGGACGGGUGAGUAACGCGUGGGUAACCUGCCUCAUAGAGGGGGACAACAGUUGGAAACGACUGCUAAUACCGCAUAGUAAGAAGAAUUCGCAUGUUUUCUUCUUGAAAGAUUUAUCGCUAUGAGAUGGACCCGCGUCUGAUUAGCUAGUUGGUAAGGUAACGGCUUACCAAGGCGGAGAUCAGUAGCCCGGUUGAGAGAGUGAACGGGCACAUUGGGACUGGGAAACGGCCCAAACUCCUUCGGGAGGCAGGAGGGGGGAAUAAUGCAACAUGGGGGAAACCCUGAUGCAGCGACGCCGCGUGAGUGAAGAAGUAUUUCGGUAUGUAAAGCUCUAUCAGCAGGGAAGAUAAUGACGGUACCUGACUAAGAAGCCCCGGCUAACUACGUG